rnacentral:rRNA from 1 species
CCUACGGGAGGCAGCAGUGAGGAAUAUUGGUCAAUGGACGAGAGUCUGAACCAGCCAAGUAGCGUGAAGGAUGACUGCCCUAUGGGUUGUAAACUUCUUUUAUAUGGGAAUAAAACAGGGUAUGCAUACCCUCUUGUAUGUACCAUAUGAAUAAGAAUCGGCUAACUCCGUGCCAGCAGCCGCGGUAAUACGGAGGAUCCGAGCGUUAUCCGGAUUUAUUGGGUUUAAAGGGAGCGUAGGUGGAUUGUUAAGUCAGUUGUGAAAGUUUGCGGCUCAACCGGAAAAUUGCAGUUGAAACUGGCAGUCUUGAGUACAGUAGAGGUAGGCGGAAUUCGUGGUGUAGCGGUGAAAUGCUUAGAUAUCACGAAGAACUCCGAUUGCGAAGGCAGCUUACUGGACUGCAACUGACACUGAUGUUCGAAAGUGUGGGUAUCAAACAGGAUUAGAUACCCGAGUAGUC